GACGAACGCUGGCGGCGUGCCUAAUACAUGCAAGUCGAGCGAAUCGAUGGGAGCUUGCUCCCUGAGAUUAGCGGCGGACGGGUGAGUAACACGUGGGUAACCUGCCUGUAAGACUGGGAUAACUUCGGGAAACCGGAGCUAAUACCGGAUACUUUCUUUUCUCGCAUGAGGAGAGAUGGAAAGAUGGUUCUGCUAUCACUUACAGAUGGACCCGCGGCGCAUUAGCUAGUUGGUGAGGUAACGGCUCACCAAGGCGACGAUGCGUAGCCGACCUGGGAGGGUGAUCGGCCACACUGGGACUGAGACACGGCCCAGACUCCUACGGGAGGCAGCAGUAGGGAAUCUUCCGCAAUGGACGAAAGUCUGACGGAGCAACGCCGCGUGAGCGAAGAAGGCCUUCGGGUCGUAAAGCUCUGUUGUUAGGGAAGAACAAGUACGAGAGUAACUGCUCGUACCUUGACGGUACCUAACCAGAAAGCCACGGCUAACUACGUGCCAGCCGCCGCAGUAAAAC
rnacentral:rRNA from 1 species